rnacentral:sRNA from 1 species
AUUCUACCCAUGCGGGGAAGGAUGAGAAGCUUCGACUAAGGUUCGAUUCGAGCGCAGCGAGAAAGCGUUGCCGCAGGCAACGACCC